GGUCUUAGUAGUGAUGAUUUGGUAUCAAUAUGUCACAAAUUAUUAGGAUUUGUGCCACCUGAAACAAUAGUUUAAAGGAACACAAUAAAGAUAUCUUGACUUGGGUUGGAAUACCCCUUAAGUAUCUCUGUUAUUUAAUUUAUUCAUUGCUGAUAAAAAAAAGAUAUCUUAGCUUAAUAACUCUUUUCAAGAAAUUCUGGAUGAUGCAACCGAUGUUAUUAUAUAUAGUGCAACAUGUCCGAGCACAUAUCUUGACAUUAAUUGAAAGUCUAUUAAUGACAAACACAUCAACCAAUCAGAUGCAUAUGAUGUAUCUCUUCUUACCAAGUGACUUGAAUAAUGUGUUCAAUUUUAAUUGAGGGUCAGCCAUGUUAGUUUAUCUGUAUUGUGCAUUGGAUCAUUGUACUGAUUAUAAUUAGGACAAUAUUAGAUGGUGCAUCAUAGUUCUACAAUAUCAAAACAUGCAUUUAUUCUAGAAUUGAAAUAUUGAUUGUUAAUUAAGGAAAGAAUUUUUUCCACUUAAGAGGUUAUAAUAUUUUUUUUUGGUCAAUUUUUAGUAAUAAAAAGACCGUAUUAGUUAUGACAAUCGUAAUGUUUAAAAAUAAAAUGUUGAAAAAGAUACAUAAAGUAAAAAGAGUAAUGCUAUAAAUACAAGAUAACUAAUAAAGGUGCUAAAAACAUUUAGAACAAUAUAGUUUAAAAAACUAACUUACCUAAGAAAAAAAAUAACUUUCCUAAGAAAAUAAUUGUUUAAAUAAAUUCAAAAAAUGUAUAGCAUGACAACAUAAGUGGGUGUACAUUAGCAAGUCCUAAUAUAUGUUAAAAAUACAUCAGGAUUUAACAUGAUAACAUCAGUGGAUGUAGAUUAGGGAAUAUAUAUAUAUAUAUAUGUGGUAACUUACACCCACUUAAUUUUUAAAAUGAAUAAAUUAGCAAACCACACCUUGAAUAUAUUUUAAGAAAAAUUAUAGUUUGUUAACUUAUUUAUUCUAAAAAUGAAGUGGAGUAAGCUAACAAACAUGUAUUUACUAACGUACAUUCACUUGUUUUUCUAGUAUUAAAUUAAAAAUUUGCAUACUUAGGGUAGUCAAAGAAAUUUGUGGUCUAAUAUAUUAACUUACUCCUAAAUAUAGUGGGUGUAAAAAGCUGUAAGCACAUCAAAUAUGUAGAACAUAGCAACACUCAUUAUCACAAGCCCAGAGAUGACAGGGGCAAAGCACAACACUAAUGUAUGAUAUUGAGGAUCAUAACAGUAGAAGGAACAACGAGAUAUAGAUGAUUUAACAGUGGAAAUUGUUGAGAAGAUAUCAACUGUUGAGAAGAUAUCAACGGUAAUUAAAUAGCUUACUGUACAAUUUUUCAUUCUCUGAAAGUUAUAGCUCGGCUGGUCAAAGCAGCACUAAUAAUAACACUAGCCAGGUUCUGUUAUACCAAUAUCAGAUGCACUACGAACUGCACAGUAGCAUCAACAAAAACACAUGGUCAAUUAAGAGUAUACAAAAACUAUCAAUAUAAUGAAUACUAAAAUUCAAAGUCAUGGAAGUGCUUUUAAGGAUCUCAGUACAGCUUGGCAGUACCUGAACCACAUAAUAACACAAAGUAUAAUAAUGUACAAAUAAUAUUCUACCAACUUACUUCAUCUAAUCUAAAACCUUCCCCACUUCAGCUAGCAUGUAUGCAUAAAUAAG
rnacentral:lncRNA from 1 species